AUUGAACGCUGGCGGCAGGCUUAACACAUGCAAGUCGAGCGAGCGGCGGACGGGUGAGUAAUGUCUGGGAAACUGCCUGAUGGAGGGGGAUAACUACUGGAAACGGUAGCUAAUCCCGCAUACCAUCAGAUGUGCCCAGAUGGGAUUCUCUAGUAGGUGGGGUAAUGGCUCACCUAGGCGACGAUCCCUAUCUGGUCUGAGAGGAUGAACAGCCACACUGGAACGGAGACACGGUCCAGACUCGUACGGGAGGAAGCAGUGGGGAAUAUGGCACAAUGGGCGCAAGCCGUAUGCAGCCAUGCCGCGUGUGUGAAGAAGGCCUUCGGGUUGUAAAGCACUUUCAGCGAGGAGGCGUUACUCGCAGAAGAAGCACCGGCUAACUCCGUGCCAGCAGCCGCGGUAAUAA
rnacentral:rRNA from 1 species